GAGUUUGAUCCUGGCUCAGGUUGAACGCUGGCGGCAUGCCUUACACAUGCAAGUCGAACGGCAGCAUGAUCUAGCUUGCUAGGUUGAUGGCGAGUGGCGAACGGGUGAGUAAUACAUCGGAACGUGCCCUGUAGUGGGGGAUAACUAGUCGAAAGAUUAGCUAAUACCGCAUACGACCUGAGGGUGAAAGUGGGGGACCGCAAGGCCUCAUGCUAUAGGAGCGGCCGAUGUCUGAUUAGCUAGUUGGUGGGGUAAAGGCCCACCAAGGCGACGAUCAGUAGCUGGUCUGAGAGGACGAUCAGCCACACUGGGACUGAGACACGGCCCAGACUCCUACGGGAGGCAGCAGUGGGGAAUUUUGGACAAUGGGCGAAAGCCUGAUCCAGCAAUGCCGCGUGUGUG
rnacentral:rRNA from 1 species